GACGAACGCUGGCGGCGUGCUUAACACAUGCAAGUCGAACGGAAAGGCCCUGCUUUUGUGGGGUGCUCGAGUGGCGAACGGGUGAGUAACACGUGAGUAACCUGCCCUUGACUUUGGGAUAACUUCAGGAAACUGGGGCUAAUACCGGAUAGGAGCUCCUGCUGCAUGGUGGGGGUUGGAAAGUUUCGGCGGUUGGGGAUGGACUCGCGGCUUAUCAGCUUGUUGGUGGGGUAGUGGCUUACCAAGGCUUUGACGGGUAGCCGGCCUGGGAGGGGGACCGGCGACAUUGGGACUGAGAUACGGCGCAGACUCCUACGGGAGGCAGCGGUGGGGAAUAUUGCACAGUGGGCGGAAGCCUGAUGCAGCAACGCCGCGUGCGGGAUGCCGGCCUUCGGGUUGUAAACCGAUUUCGCCUGUGACGAAGCGUGAGUGACGGUAAUGGGUAAAGAAGCACCGGCUAACUACGUG
rnacentral:rRNA from 1 species